AGCGAACGCUGGCGGCAGGCCUAACACAUGCAAGUCGAACGAAGUCUUCGGACUUAGUGGCGGACGGGUGAGUAGCACGUGGGAACGUGCCUUUAGGUUCGGAAUAACUCAGGGAAACUUGUGCUAAUACCGAAUGUGCCCUUCGGGGAAAGAUUUAUCGCCUUUAGAGCGGCCCGCGUCUGAUUAGCUAGUUGGUGAGGUAAAGGCUCACCAAGGCGACGAUCAGUAGCUGGUCUGAGAGGAUGAUCAGCCACAUUGGGACUGAGACACGGCCCAAACUCCUACGGGAGGCAGCAGUGGGGAAUCUUGCGCAAUGGGCGAAAGCCUGACGCAGCCAUGCCGCGUGAAUGAUGAAGGUCUUAGGAUUGUAGAAUUCUUUCACCGGGGACGAUAAUGACGGUACCCGGAGAAGAAGCCCCGGCUAACUUCGUGCCAGCCGCCGCCGUAAGAC
rnacentral:rRNA from 1 species